rnacentral:rRNA from 1 species
UAACACGUAGGUAACCUGCCCAUGUGUCCGGGAUAACUGCUGGAAACGGUAGCUAAAACCGGAUAGGUAUACAGAGCGCAUGCUCAGUAUAUUAAAGCGCCCUUCAAGGCGUGAACAUGGAUGGACCUGCGGCGCAUUAGCUAGUUGGUGAGGUAACGGCCCACCAAGGCGAUGAUGCGUAGCCGGCCUGAGAGGGUAAACGGCCACAUUGGGACUGAGGCACGGCCCAA